ensembl:lncRNA
AUGAUCCCUGCUUUUAUCUUAAAUGGUUCGUCUACUCUGAAGAACAGAUGUAUAUUUUCCACCAUGUAUGUGUCUGAAAUAAUGCAUGUGAAACUGGGAGUGUUCUGCAGGUCCAGGCCAAUUGAUGUAGGUGAAGCUGCCAUGGAAGGACAGACCACGAUCAGAGGAAAAAGCACCUCUGUCAAAAGUAUUGCUCAACAGGGUGAGUCAUUGAAUGGACAAAGUGGAAGUCCAUUUGAUUAACAGCCUUUGAUUGACACCAAUCUCCUGAACAAUGGACCUCAGAGGGCAGUGCACACCCAUACAGACACACACACAGACACAGACACACAGACACACACACACACAAAUAUGCAUAGGCGACUCUCCCAGGCCCCAGGGUGGAAUGUCCAAUAUGAAAACACACUGUAGUGUACCUGCUGUUUUAAUAUUUUCAAAGCCCUUUGUAUGGGAAGAAAGGCGAUGAACUGUGAGCACCUGACUUUGAGACACGCAGGACGAUGACAUGUUUUCUUAUCAGUUGAUAAGUCACUCAGUUGUUUUGACAAUCGCUUUGCUGUAUGAAAGCCAAAGAUCUCUGUUAGCUCUGAUGAUUAUUAGAAAUAAACAAAACAUCUGACAGAUUUGUUUCAAUAUUGUUCAGGAAAUAAUUAUGCUAUGAAUUCCAUCAAAUCAAUCUAACCCUCUUUUGAUUGAUCCUAAUACUCUAUAUUGUUUGUAGUCUUGUAUUGGUCCUCAGGUUGCAGUGUAUGUACACUGAGUGUACAAAAUAUUAGGAACACCUUCCUAAUAUUGAGUUGCAACCCCUUUUGCCCUCAGAACAGCCUCAAUUAGUCAGGGCAUGGACUACAAGGUGUCAAAAGUGUUCCACAUGGAUGUGGGUCCAUGUUGACUCCAAUGAUUCUCACAGUUGGCUGGUUGUCCUUUGGGUGGUGGACCAUUCUUGAUACACACGAUACACACGGGAAACUGUUGAGCGUGAAAAACCCAGCAGCAUUGCAGUUCUUGACACACUCAAACCGGUGUGCCUGGCACCUACUACCAUACCCAGUUCAAAGGCACUUAAAUGUUUUGUCUUGCCCAUUCACCCUCUGAAUGGCACACAUACACAAUCCAUGUCUGAAUUGUCUCAAGGCUUAAACAUCCUUCCCCUUCAUCUACACUGAUUGAAGUGGAUUUAACAAGUGAUAUCAAUAAGGGAUCCUAGAUUUGACCUGUAUUCACCUGGUCAGUCUAUGUCAUGGAAAGACCAGGUUUUCCUAAUGUUUUGUACACUCAGUGUAUAAUUUCACACCUUAUGAAAUACAACAUGUUCCAUGUAUUGUCACGGACACAAAGGUGUUAGGAAUCUAUUAUCACAUGACUAAAGUUGCAAACAAAUGGGUGUGUGAUAGACUAUAUAAGCCUAUCCUGUUGCAUAACUAUGCCAGGUUGCCUUACAAGAAUGAGAUCUAAGUCCAUUGACAACUUUCUUCUUUUGAUUCUAGACAGGUGUCAACUGUGAUUGUAUAGUAACAUUAUAUGUAUCUUUAUUGGCCUGAAGCCACAUUUAGCCUUUUUGAUGAAUAACCAAGAAUAAUGGUAUAUUUUGUUAUCUAGAAUGUAAUAGCCUAUGCACGUUUAGAUGAUCCUGAAAUGUGUGAUAAUUGAUUGCAUGUUGUUUCCAUUAGUUACUGAAAUGGUAAGUAGGCAUAUGACCAAUAAAGGCCUACAGCCCUUGUGCUGAAUGCAAUAUUUUUGCAUUUGUAAACACGAAAAACUACUCUAAAAAUAAAGGAUUAUUUUUUACCAUGUAAGACACUGUAAGACACUGAAUUAUGAAAAUAUCUGGACUAUAAAUAUUUUGGGAA